GAUGAACGCUGGCGGCGUGCCUAAUACAUGCAAGUCGAACGAAACUUCUUUAUCACCGAGUGCUUGCACUCACCGAUAAAGAGUUGAGUGGCGAACGGGUGAGUAACACGUGGGCAACCUGCCCAAAAGAGGGGGAUAACACUUGGAAACAGGUGCUAAUACCGCAUAACCAUAGUUACCGCAUGGUAACUAUGUAAAAGGUGGCUAUACUACCGCUUUUGGAUGGGCCCGCGGGGCAUUAGCUAGUUGGUAGGGUAAAGGCUUACCAAGGCAAUGAUGCGUAGCCGAAGUGAGAGGUGGAUCGGCCAAAUUGGACUGAGACACGGCCCAAACGCCUACGGGAGGCAGCAGUAGGGAAUCUUCCACAAUGGGCGAAAGCCUGAUGGAGCAACGCCGCGUGGGUGAAGAAGGUCUUCGGAUCGUAAAACCCUGUUGUUAGAGAAGAAAGUGAGUGAGAGUAACUGUUCACGUUUCGACGGUAUCUAACCAGAAAGCCACUGCUAACUACGUG
rnacentral:rRNA from 1 species